rnacentral:rRNA from 1 species
GACGGAGGAUGCAAGUGUUAUCCGGAAUCACUGGGCGUAAAGCGUCUGUAGGUCGUUCAAUAAGUCAACUGUUAAAUCUUGAGGCUCAACUUCAAAAUCGCAGUCGAAACUAUUAAACUAGAGUAUAGUAGGGGUAAAGGGAAUUUCCAGUGGAGCGGUGAAAUGCGUAGAGAUUGGAAAGAACACCAAAGGCGAAGGCAGUGUCCUGGGGAGUACCUGACGCUCAGGUGCGAAAGCCAGGGGAGCGAACGGG